GCCUCGGUAGUGUAAUGGAUCAGCACGGCAGACCGGAUGACUGUAAGUGAGGGUUCGAGUCCCGACUGAGGUU
rnacentral:tRNA from 1 species